GCUACCGUGGCUCAGUCGGUAGAGCAGCUGAUUCGUAAUCAGCAGGUCGCCGGUUCGAAUCCGGCCGGUAGCU
rnacentral:tRNA from 1 species